rnacentral:rRNA from 1 species
AUACGGAGGAUCCGAGCGUUAUCCGGAUUUAUUGGGUUUAAAGGGUGCGUAGGCGGCCUUUUAAGUCAGCGGUGAAAGUCUGUGGCUCAACCAUAGAAUUGCCGUUGAAACUGGGAGGCUUGAGUAUGUUUGAGGCAGGCGGAAUGCGUGGUGUAGCGGUGAAAUGCUUAGAUAUCACGCAGAACCCCGAUUGCGAAGGCAGCCUGCCAAGCCAUGACUGACGCUGAUGCACGAAAGCGUGGGGAUCAAACAGGAUUAGAUACCCUGGUAGUCCACGCAGUAAACGAUGAUCACUAGCUGUUUGCGAUACAGUGUAAGCGGCACAGCGAAAGCGUUAAGUGAUCCACCUGGGGAGUACGCCGGCAACGGUGAAACUCAAAGGAAUUGACGGGGCCCGCACAAGCGGAGGAACAUGUGGUUUAAUUCGAUGAUACGCGAGGAACCUUACCCGGGUUUGAACGCAUUCGGACCGAGGUGGAAACACCUUUUC